rnacentral:siRNA from 1 species
UAACUCAGAUGGCCGUGUUGAU